rnacentral:rRNA from 1 species
GGUGAGUAACACGUGGGCAAUCUGCCCUUCACUCUGGGACAAGCCCUGGAAACGGGGUCUAAUACCGGAUAACACCUGCCCGGGCAUCCGGGUGGGUUAAAAGCUCCGGCGGUGAAGGAUGAGCCCGCGGCCUAUCAGCUUGUUGGUGAGGUAGUGGCUCACCAAGGCGACGACGGGUAGCCGGCCUGAGAGGGCGACCGGCCACACUGGGACUGAGACACGGCCCAGACUCCUACGGGAGGCAGCAGUGGGGAAUAUUGCACAAUGGGCGAAAGCCUGAUGCAGCGACGCCGCGUGAGGGAUGACGGCCUUCGGGUUGUAAACCUCUUUCAGCAGGGAAGAAGCGAAAGUGACGGUACCUGCAGAAGAAGCGCCGGAUAACUACGUGCCAGCAGCCGCGGUAAUACGUAGGGCGCAAGCGUUGUCCGGAAUUAUUGGGCGUAAAGAGCUCGUAGGCGGCUUGUCACGUCGGGUGUGAAAGCCCGGGGCUUAACCCCGGGUCUGCAUUCNAUACGGGCUAGCUAGAGUGUGGUAGGGGAGAUCGGAAUUCCUGGUGUAGCGGUGAAAUGCGCANAUAUCANGAGGAACACCGGUGGNGAAGGCGGAUCUCUGGGCCAUUACUGACGCUGAGGAGCGAAAGCGUGNGGAGCGAACAGGAUUAGAUACCCUGGUAGUCCACGCCGUAAACGGUGGGAACUAGGUGUUGGCGACAUUNCNNGUCGUCGGUGCCGCAGCUAACGCAUUAAGUUCCCCGCCUGGGGAGUACGGCCGCAAGGCUAANACUCNAAGGAAUUGACGGGGGCCCGCACAAGCAGCGGA